GAUGAACGCUAGCGAUAGGCUUAACACAUGCAAGUCGAGGGACCGGCGCACGGGUGCGUAACGCGUAUGCAACUUGCCUCACAGAGGGGGAUAACCCGUCGCAAGACGGACUAAUACCGCGUACUGUGAGAUAGGCAUGCGUACCAUUAGCUAGUUGGUGAGGUAACGGCUAACAAAGGCAACGAUGGGUAGGGGAACUGAGAGGUUGAAACCCCACACUGGUAAUGAGCCACGGACUAGACUACUACGGGAGACGGCAGUGAGGAAUAUUGGUCAAUGGUCGAGGGCCUGAACCAGCCGAGUCGGGUGAGGGAUGACUGUCUAUGGAUUGUAAACUUCUUGUGUAGGGGAAUAUGUACCCUACGAAUAAGCAUCGGCUAACUCCGUGCCAGCAGCCGCGGUAAUUC
rnacentral:rRNA from 1 species